AUUGAACGCUGGCGGCAGGCCUAACACAUGCAAGUCGAGCGGAGCGGCGGACGGGUGAGUAAUGCCUAGGAAUCUGCCUGGUAGUGGGGGAUAACGUCCGGAACCGGGCGCUAAUACCGCAUACUAUCAGAUGAGCCUAGGUCUGAUUAGCUAGGUGGUGGGGUUAAGGCCUACCAAGGCGACGAUCCGUAACUGGUCUGAGAGGAUGAUCAGUCACACUGGAACUGAGACACGGCCCCGACUCCUACGGGAGGCAGCAGUGGGGAAUAUUGGACAAUGGGCGAAAGCCUGAUCCAGCCAUGCCGCGUGAGUGAUGAAGGUCUUCGGAUCGUAAAACUCUGUUAUUAGGGAAGCGGUACCUAAUCAGAAAGCCACGGCUAACUACGUGCCAGCAGCCGCGGUAAUAC
rnacentral:rRNA from 1 species